rnacentral:rRNA from 1 species
UGGGGAAUCUUGCGCAAUGCACGACAGUGUGACGCAGCAACGCCGCGUGGGGGAAGAAGGCCUUCGGGUUGUAAACCUCUUUCAGGAGGGACGAAGCUCCGGUCGCGAAUAGCGGUCCGGAGUGACGGUACCUCCACAAGAAGCCCCGGCUAACUACGUGCCAGCAGCCGCGGUAAUACGUAGGGGGCUAGCGUUGUCCGGAAUCAUUGGGCGUAAAGCGCGCGUAGGCGGCCAGAUAAGUCCGGUGUGAAAGUCACAGGCUCAACCUGUGAAUGCCGCUGGAAACUGUCUGGCUAGAGUCCGGAAGGGGCGAGUGGAAUUCCUGGUGUAGCGGUGAAAUGCGCAGAUAUCAGGAGGAACACCAAUGGCGAAGGCAGCUCGCUGGAACGGUACUGACGCUGAGGCGCGAAAGCGUGGGGAGCGAACAGG